GCCGCGUGAGUGAUGAAGGUUUUCGGAUCGUAAAACUCUGUUGUUAGGGAAGAACAAGUACCGUUCGAAUAGGGCGGUACCUUGACGGUACCUAACCAGAAAGCCACGGCUAACUACGUGCCAGCAGCCGCGGUAAUACGUAGGUGGCAAGCGUUGUCCGGAAUUAUUGGGCGUAAAGCGCGCGCAGGCGGUUUCUUAAGUCUGAUGUGAAAGCCCCCGGCUCAACCGGGGAGGGUCAUUGGAAACUGGGGAACUUGAGUGCAGAAGAGGAGAGUGGAAUUCCACGUGUAGCGGUGAAAUGCGUAGAGAUGUGGAGGAACACCAGUGGCGAAGGCGACUCUCUGGUCUGUAACUGACGCUGAGGCGCGAAAGCGUGGGGAGCGAACAGGAUUAGAUACCCUGGUAGUCCACGCCGUAAACGAUGAGUGCUAAGUGUUAGAGGGUUUCCGCCCUUUAGUGCUGCAGCAAACGCAUUAAGCACUCCGCCUGGGGAGUACGGUCGCAAGACUGAAACUCAAAGGAAUUGACGGGGGCCCGCACAAGCGGUGGAGCAUGUGGUUUAAUUCGAAGCAACGCGAAGAACCUUACCAGGUCUUGACAUCCUCUGACAACCCUAGAGAUAGGGCUUCCCCUUCGGGGGCAGAGUGACAGGUGGUGCAUGGUUGUCGUCAGCUCGUGUCGUGAGAUGUUGGGUUAAGUCCCGCAACGAGCGCAACCCUUGAUCUUAGUUGCCAGCAUUCAGUUGGGCACUCUAAGGUGACUGCCGGUGACAAACCGGAGGAAGGUGGGG
rnacentral:rRNA from 1 species